UACGUAGGGUGCGAGCGUUGUCCGGAAUUAUUGGGCGUAAAGAGCUUGUAGGCGGUUUGUCGCGUCUGCUGUGAAAUUUCGGGGCUCAACCCCGAACUUGCAGUGGGUACGGGCAGACUAGAGUGUGGUAGGGGAGACUGGAAUUCCUGGUGUAGCGGUGAAAUGCGCAGAUAUCAGAAAGAACACCCGUGGCGAAGGCGGCUCUCUGGGACGGUACUGACGCUGAGACGCGAAAGCGUGGGGAGCGAACAGG
rnacentral:rRNA from 1 species